rnacentral:rRNA from 1 species
UACGGAAGGGGCUAGCGUUGUUCGGAAUUACUGGGCGUAAAGAGCGCGUAGGCGGCUUACCAAGUUGGGGGUGAAAUCCCGGAGCACAACUCCGGAACUGCCUUCAAAACUGGUAGGCUCGAGUCCGGAAGAGGGGCGUGGAAUUCCCAGUGUAGAGGUGAAAUUCGUAGAUAUUGGGAAGAACACCGGUGGCGAAGGCGGCGCCCUGGUCCGGUACUGACGCUGAGGCGCGAAAGCGUGGGGAGCAAACUUG